GUGAGAUUUAGGGAUUAACCCUAUUUGUGUAAAUCUCGGUAUUGUGACUAGGAUUACCGGCACCUGGUCAGGAGCACCCGGGGAUUUGGAAUCUCUACUAUUGCGGGACAACAGGAAAGGGUAAGGCAAUAGCUGAUCAGCCAUGAGUUUCAGGAGUAGACGAAGAAUGUACAUGUUCACGCCACUUCAGACCAAGCGGGUUAUGGGUCUAGCAGUGUUGACUUUUGUAUUCUGUUUUACCGCUUAGGUCGGCUAGUAAGAAAGAACUUGUAAUAAUUUUGUAAUUAUUUUUGGGAUCCCAACUAUGUUUGAAAAGUUUAAAUAUAUUACAAGUUUAUUUUCAGUC